AAUGAGUUUACAAGAAAACUGUGGUCAAUUCUUUAUGUUGGAUAAACUGUGUGUAAGCAACACAUGUAGUGAUGAAAACAAAGGCACAGCAGUUUUAGAAGUAACAUUUUUAGUGUUCUUUAGGCAACUGAAGGAAAACAGCAAGUUCAUGUCCCGUCAGAUUUUCAACUUUAAUUCCUGCUUGAUUCAGUCAGUUAUUGGUUAUCCUCUAACAUGCUGAUGGUAUCUGUCGGUCCC